GGGGAGCAACGGUUAGCUUAGCUUCUGAUACCAGAGAAAAGUCUCUGUGAAUAAAACGGAUAUUAUCUCAAAUAUAAUCUCGAUUACAGAUUGCAGAUAACGAGGAUAUGAAGAACAUGAAGAUGGACUGGUUUCACAUGCAGAUGUUGCAGCAUCUGCAUCUGAGGUUGAGAAGACACUCAAUCUACCUGCCAAUCCUCAUCUGAUUUUGCUGGUGUCCAGUCAACAUUUUUGACUGCAGUUGCAAGUGUUUGCUGUGCACUACAUCUUCAACCUGCAGUAUAUAGAGGCGGCUUGUUGCACGUUAGAGUUUUUUCAAAGAUGAUUCUAUGGAAUAAACCCAGAAAGAUGCUCAAAGACCUGCCGAGGCAAGGUAGUCUCCAAGAAGACGGGGAAGGUGGUGAAUAAGAAGUCCACUACAGUCAAUCCAAAGGUUGCCACUCUACAAAAAAAUCGAAU